rnacentral:rRNA from 1 species
UACGGAGGGUGCGAGCGUUGUCCGGAAUCAUUGGGCGUAAAGGGCGCGUAGGUGGCGGGACAAGUCUGCUGUGAAAACUCGAGGCUCAACCUCGAGCUGUCGGUGGAAACUGUCUGGCUAGAGUCCGGAAGAGGAGAGUGGAAUUCCUGGUGUAGCGGUGAAAUGCGCAGAUAUCAGGAAGAACACCUAUGGCGAAGGCAGCUCUCUGGGACGGUACUGACGCUGAGACGCGAAAGCGUGGGGAGCAAACAGG